rnacentral:rRNA from 1 species
CAUGCCUUACACAUGCAAGUCGAACGGUAACAGGUCUUCGGAUGCUGACGAGUGGCGAACGGGUGAGUAAUACAUCGGAACGUGCCCGAUCGUGGGGGAUAACGCAGCGAAAGCUGUGCUAAUACCGCAUACGAUCUACGGAUGAAAGCGGGGGAUCGCAAGACCUCGCGCGGACGGAGCGGCCGAUGGCAGAUUAGGUAGUUGGUGGGAUAAAAGCUUACCAAGCCGACGAUCUGUAGCUGGUCUGAGAGGACGACCAGCCACACUGGGACUGAGACACGGCCCAGACUCCUACGGGAGGCAGCAGUGGGGAAUUUUGGACAAUGGGCGCAAGCCUGAUCCAGCCAUGCCGCGUGCAGGAUGAAGGCCUUCGGGUUGUAAACUGCUUUUUGUACGGAACGAAAAAGCUCUCUCUAAUACAGGGGGUGAAUG